rnacentral:rRNA from 1 species
AUUAGCUAGUUGGAGAGGUAACGGCUCACCAAGGCAACGAUGAUUAGGGGUUCUGAGAGGAUUUCCCCCCACACUGGAACUGAGACACGGUCCAGACUCCUACGGGAGGCAGCAGUAGGGAAUAUUGGGCAAUGGAAGCAAUUCUGACCCAGCCAUGCCGCGUGAAGGAAUACAGCCCUAUGGGUUUUAAACUUCUUUUAUUAUAGAGUAAACGGAGGUACGUGUACCUCCCUGCAAGUAUAUGAUGAAUAAGGAUCGGCUAACUCCGUGCCAGCAGCCGCGGUAAUACGGAGGAUCCAAGCGUUAUCCGGAUUUAUUGGGUUUAAAGGGUGCGCAGGCGGAUCAAUAAGUCAGGGGUGAAAAAUUUCAGCUUAACUGGAAUCGUGCCUUUGAUACUGUUGGACUAGAGUAUAAUUGACGUGACUGGAAUGUGAUGUGUAGCGGUGAAAUGCUUAGAUAUGUCACAGAACGCCAAUCGUGAAGACAGGUCACGAAAUUAUUACUGACGCUCAUGCACGAAAGCGUGGGGAUCAAACAGGAUUAGAUACCCUGGUAGUCCACGCUGUAAAC